GACGAACGCUGGCGGCGUGCUUAACACAUGCAAGUCGAACGGUGAAGCGCCUUCCUUUUUGGUGGGUGUGGAUGAGUGGCGAACGGGUGAGUAACACGUGAGUAACCUGCCCCCUUCUUCUGGAUAACCGCAUGAAAGUGUGGCUAAUACGGGAUAUUCUGGGUCUGUCGCAUGAUGGGUCUGGGAAAGAUAUUGUUUCGGUGGGGGAUGGGCUCGCGGCCUAUCAGUUUGUUGGUGGGGUGAUGGCCUACCAAGGCGGUGAUGGGUAGCCGGCCUGAGAGGGUGGACGGUCACACUGGGACUGAGACACGGCCCAGACUCCUACGGGAGGCAGCAGUGGGGAAUAUUGCACAAUGGGCGCAAGCCUGAUGCAGCGACGCCGCGUGAGGGAUGGAGGCCUUCGGGUUGUGAACCUCUUUCGCCAGUGAAGCAGGCCUGCCUCGUUUGUGGGUGGGUUGACGGUAGCUGGAUAAGAAGCGCCGGCUAACUACGUG
rnacentral:rRNA from 1 species